UUGAGCUGUAUAAUUUGAGUGUUAUAAAAGCAUGCUAAUCAAUAAUUUUAACUGGUAAAUCUAUUUAAUCUUUUUAUAUUAGCUUAUACCUUCAGAUAUAGUAUAACAUUAUUACAUUUAUACAUAUUAUUACAUAUUAUUAAAUCUCUACAAUACAGUACAUUACACAGCAAUGAGUUGGUCAAAUGUUAUUUCCUGAGUACUUUUUAAUUCUUUAUUUUUUUUUAAAACAUGCAACUCAGCUACAUAUGCUUAUACCUAAAAUGUUUAAUGUGCCAAGUCUAAUAACUGGCAAAAAAUAGUAUGAGGUGUUACUUUGCUUCACAAAUAUGCCUUUUGGGUUAGAAUGAAAUUUUAAUGAAAUAUUGUUAUUCUCCUUCAUUGUAUUAUAAUUAAAUAACAAGAGAACUUGACACUCUUAGUGAGAAUAAUUAUAUGGGCUUUUGUUUCAGUCAGUGUCAUUUUGAAUGUGCAUCUUUCUGCUGGCUUAGAGUAUGAUGUGUGUGUGUGUGUUGUGUGCUCAGACAAAUUCUCACAUUCCCUAUAGUUCCAGGCCUUAAUCCUAUUAGUGGAGCCAUGGCGGGACUGAUGGAGAUGAGUAUUCCACUCCCUCAUAUAUCAUUGGCUGAACAGUGCAUUGGCUACUUCCACAACUACCACCAUGACUUCAUUAGUGAGUGAUCAUUAUUAGCUUAAUGGAUCUAUUUAUGCAUUCAAUACCAUUUCUGUAAACCCGGAUAACACAACUUUGUAUCAGAACUAGUAUCAAGGAGUGUUUUCAGGAUAGAUAUUCCACUGUUGUCACCACAACUCCAAUGUUGUUCCUGAAGCAAAAAAUGGAGAGCACAGAGCAGCCACUGGUUCAGGAAUCAUCUCCAAGCUCAAUUUACUCCCUUUUUCCAGAAAGAAGGGCUGAAAGGGUGGAAAACUGGACAAGAGAGAGCAAGAAGUAGAAGUGCCCAGUCUGUUCCUGUGGGGUGAUCUUUAGCCUCAUGCAUGGGAUCAGACAAACACUUAUUAACUGAGAGGAAUGCAAACAAGCCAGACCUUAAAGGCUAGACACAGUAGAAAGAGAGAAAGAAAGGAGGGGUAUAUACCCCCCAUCACUACCUCAACUACAUACAAACAGCAAAAGGACUCAUUCAGUGAAUAUGCUAGAGCAUUUUACAAAAAUAUCAUUCUAAUAAAGGUGGAAUAUUGUUACUUCACAUUGAACAGUGUGUUGCCCUUACUCAACUGUAUUGUUCACUUUACUCAUUUUGUAUUAGCAGAUCUAAGAGCACAGAUGAAUUGUUGUAAUGACGCACUCCAUACUAGGCCAGAGUGUAAUCAUGUAGGUCCGUGUUCCAGUCCGUGUACGUUCCCAGCCGGCACACGACCAACCAACAUUGAAAUAUGGUUGAAAUAAUGUCAGUUGUCGCUCCAACGCUGAAACAACGAUUGAUGCUAAAUGGUUGCAGAAAGGUAAAAAAAAUACUUAUAAAUCAAGGUUGAAAUUUUCCCA
ensembl:lncRNA